CAAGCCUGAUCCAGCAAUGCCGCGUGAGUGAAGAAGGCCUUCGGUUGUAAGCUCUUUUCAGUUGAGAAGAAAAGAAUUGUGACUAAUAAUUGCAAUUCAUGACGGUAUCAACAGAAGAAGCACCGGCUAACUACGUGCCAGCAGCCGCGGUAAUACGUAGGGUGCGAGCGUUAAUCGGAAUUACUGGGCGUAAAGGGUGCGCAGGCGGUUCUGUAAGUCAGAUGUGAAAUCCCCGGGCUUAACCUGGGAACGUGCGUUUGAAACUACAGAGCUAGAGUGUGGCAGAGGGGGUGGGAAUUCCAUGUGUAGCAGUGAAAUGCGUAGAGAUAUGGAAGAACAUCGAUGGCGAAGGCAGCCCCCUGGGUCAACACUGACGCUCAUGCACGAAAGACGUGGGGAGCAAACAGGAUUAGAUA
rnacentral:rRNA from 1 species